AGAGUUUGAUCAUGGCUCAGGAUGAACGCUAGCUACAGGCUUAACACAUGCAAGUCGAGGGGCAGCAUGUUGGUUGCUUGCAACCAAUGAUGGCGACCGGCGCACGGGUGAGUAACGCGUAUCCAACCUACCCUUGUCCAUCGGAUAACCCGUCGAAAGGCGGCCUAACACGAUAUGCGGUUCACAGCAGGCAUCUAAGGUGAACGAAAUGUGAAGGAGAAGGAUGGGGAUGCGUCUGAUUAGCUUGUUGGCGGGUAACGGCCACAAGGCUACGAUCAGUAGGGUUCUGAGAGGAACGGUCCCCCANAUUGGAACUGAGACACGGUCCAAACGUCCUACGGGAGCA
rnacentral:rRNA from 1 species